rnacentral:misc_RNA from 1 species
UCCCAGUUUCCCGGGCAGUCUCGCCAGAGUGCCCCAAUAAAGGGUAGCAACUGACGACAGGGGUUGCGCUCGUUAAAGGACUUAACCCAACAUCUCACGACACGAGCUGACGACAGCCAUGCAGCACCUGUUCAAGUGUCUUGGUUUCCCAAGAAAGCCACAUUUCGGCAGCGAUCACUUGUAUGUCAAGCCUAGGUAAGGUUCCUCGCGUAGUGUCGAAUUAAACCACAUGUUCCACCGCUUGUGCGGGCCCCCGUCAAUUUCUUUGAGUUUUAAUCUUGCGACCGUAAUCCCCAGGUGGAUCACUUAACGCGUUAGCUUCGAUACGCAACCAGUAAACCAGUCACACAUCUAGUGAUCAUCGUUUAGGGCAUGGACUAC